GACGAACGCUGGCGGCGUGCCUAAUACAUGCAAGUCGAACGCAGUGGGGACGGGUGAGUAACACGUGGGUAACCUCCCAUCAGAGGUGAUAACACUUGGAAACAGGUGCUAAACCGAUACUGAUGGAUGAACCCGCGGUGCAUUAGCUAGUUGGUGAGGUAACGGCUCACCAAGGCCACGAUGCAUAGCAGACCUGGGAGGGGGCACGGCCGCACAGAGACUGAGACACGGCCCAGACUCCUACGGGAGGCAGCAGUAGGGAAUCUUCGGCAAUGGACGAAAGUCUGACCGAGAGACGCCGCGUGAGUGAAGAAGGUUUUCGGAUCGUAAAACUCUGUUGUUAGAGAAGCGGUAUCUAGCCAGAAAGCCACGGCUAACUACGUGCCAGCCGCCGCGGUAAAAC
rnacentral:rRNA from 1 species